CGUGUAGGCGGUCAGGUAAGUGGGAUGUGAAAUGCCUCGGCUCACCCGAGGACCUGCAUCCCAAACUGCUUGGCUUGAGUAUGGGAGAGGAUGAGGGAAUUCCUGGUGUAGCGGUGAAAUGCGUAGAUAUCAGGAGGAACACCGGUGGCGAAGGCGCUCAUCUGGCCCAAUACUGACGCUGAGGCGCGAAAGCUAGGGAGCAAACG
rnacentral:rRNA from 1 species